GCCGAACUAGCUCAGUCGGUAGAGCAGCUGUUUCGUAAACAGCAGGUCGUCGGUUCGAGUCCGACGUUCGGCUCCA
rnacentral:tRNA from 1 species